UACGGGGGGGGCAAGCGUUGUUCGGAAUUACUGGGCGUAAAGGGCUCGUAGGCGGCCAACUAAGUCCGACGUGAAAUCCCUCGGCUUAACCGGGGAACUGCGUCUGAUACUGGAUGGCUUGAAUUCGGGAGAGGGAUGCGGAAUUCCAGGUGUAGCGGUGAAAUGCGUAGAUAUCUGGAGGAACACCGGUGGCGAAGGCGGCAUCCUGGACCGGCAUUGACGCUGAGGAGCGAAAGCCAGGGGAGCAAACGGG
rnacentral:rRNA from 1 species